AGAGUUUGAUCCUGGCUCAGGACGAACGCUGGCGGCGUGCUUAACACAUGCAAGUCGAGCGGUAAGGGCCCCUUCGGGGGUACACGAGCGGCGAACGGGUGAGUAACACGUGGGUAACCUGCCCUCAGCUCUGGGAUAAGCCUGGGAAACUGGGUCUAAUACCGGAUAUGACUCUGCCUCGCAUGGGGUGGGGUGGAAAGUUUUUUCGGCUGGGGAUGGGCCCGCGGCCUAUCAGCUUGUUGGUGGGGUGAUGGCCUACCAAGGCGACGACGGGUAGCCGGCCUGAGAGGGCGACCGGCCACACUGGGACUGAGAUACGGCCCAGACUCCUACGGGAGGCAGCAGUGGGGAAUAUUGCGCAAUGGGCGAAAGCCUGACGCAGCGACGCCGCGUGGGGGAUGACGGCCUUCGGGUUGUAAACCUCUUUCGACCGGGACGAAGCGUGAGUGACGGUACCGGUAGAAGAAGCACCGGCCAACUACGUG
rnacentral:rRNA from 1 species